AACGAACGCUGGUGGCAGGCUUAACACAUGCAAGUCGAACGCCCAGCAAGGGGAGUGGCAGACGGGUGAGUAACGCGUGGGAAUCUACCCAGUUCUACGGAACAACUGAGGGAAACUUCAGCUAAUACCGUAUACGCCCUAAGGGGGAAAGAUUUAUCGGAAUUGGAUGAGCCCGCGUUGGAUUAGCUAGUUGGUGGGGUAAUGGCCUACCAAGGCGACGAUCCAUAGCUGGUCUGAGAGGAUGAUCAGCCACACUGGGACUGAGACACGGCCCAGACUCCUACGGGAGGCAGCAGUGGGGAAUAUUGGACAAUGGGCGAAAGCCUGAUCCAGCCAUGCCGCGUGAGUGAUGAAGGCCCUAGGGUUGUAAAGCUCUUUCAGUGGGGAAGAUAAUGACGGUACCCACAGAAGAAGCCCCGGCUAACUUCGUGCCAGCAGCCGCCGUAACAC
rnacentral:rRNA from 1 species